rnacentral:rRNA from 1 species
GGACAACAGUUGGAAACGACUGCUAAUACCGCAUAAGCGCACAGCUUCGCAUGAAGCAGUGUGAAAAACUCCGGUGGUACAAGAUGGACCCGCGUCUGAUUAGCUGGUUGGUGAGGUAACGGCCCACCAAGGCGACGAUCAGUAGCCGGCCUGAGAGGGUGAACGGCCACAUUGGGACUGAGACACGGCCCAAACUCCUACGGGAGGCAGCAGUGGGGAAUAUUGCACAAUGGGGGAAACCCUGAUGCAGCAACGCCGCGUGAGUGAAGAAGUAUUUCGGUAUGUAAAGCUCUAUCAGCAGGAAAGAAAAUGACGGUACCUGACUAAGAAGCCCCGGCUAACUACGUGCCAGCAGCCGCGGUAAUACGUAGGGGGCAAGCGUUAUCCGGAUUUACUGGGUGUAAAGGGAGCGUAGACGGUUUUGCAAGUCUGAAGUGAAAGCCCGGGGCUUAACCCCGGGACUGCUUUGGAAACUGUAGGACUAGAGUGCAGGAGAGGUAAGUAGAAUUCCUAGUGUAGCGGUGAAAUGCGUAGAUAUUAGGAGGAACACCAGUGGCGAAGGCGGCUUACUGGACUGUAACUGACGUUGAGGCUCGAAAGCGUGGGGAGCAAACAGGAUUAGAUACCCUGGUAGUCCACGCCGUAAACGAUGAUUACUAGGUGUUGGUGGGUAUGACCCAUCGGUGCCGCAG